rnacentral:rRNA from 1 species
GUGCUCUGAUGCUUAUUGCACCACAUGUGUUUUUCUUUGAAACAAACUUGCUUUGGCGGUGGGCCCAGCCUGCCGCCAGAGGUCUAAACUUACAACCAAUUUUUUAUCAACUUGUCACACCAGAUUAUUACUAAUAGUCAAAACUUUCAACAACGGAUCUCUUGGUUCUCGCAUCGAUGAAGAACGCAGCGAAAUGCGAUACGUAAUAUGAAUUGCAGAUAUUCGUGAAUCAUCGAAUCUUUGAACGCACAUUGCGCCCUCUGGUAUUCCGGAGGGCAUGCCUGUUUGAGCGUCGUUUCUCCCUCAAACCGCUGGGUUUGGUGUUGAGCAAUACGACUUGGGUUUGCUUGAAAGACGGUAGUGGUAAGGCGGGAUCGCUUUGACAAUGGCUUAGGUCUAACCAAAAACAUUGCUUGCGGCGGCAACGUCUACCACGUAUAUCUUCAAACUUUGACCUCAAAUCAGGUAGGACUACCCGCUGAACUUAAGCAUAUCAAUAAAGCGGAGGAA